GCGGGAAUAUUGCGCAAUGGGCGAAAGCCUGACGCAGCAACGCCGCGUGAGCGAUGAAGGCCCUCGGGUCGUAAAGCUCUGUCAGGAGAGACGAAGGGCAGUUCGGUUAAUAGCCUAGCUGUCUGACGGUACCUCCAGAGGAAGCCCCGGCAAACUCCGUGCCAGCAGCCGCGGUAAGUCGGAGGGGGCAAGCGUUGUUCGGAAUUACUGGGCGUAAAGGGCGUGUAGGCGGCCAUAUAAGUUAGGUGUAAAAUCAUCUGGCUCAACCAGAUAACUGCGCCUAAAACUGUAUGGCUUGAGUGCAGGAGAGGAAAGUGGAAUUGCCGGUGUAACGGUGAAAUGUGUAGAUAUCGGCAAGAACACCAGUGGUGAAGGCGGCUUUCUAGACUGCUACUGACGCUGAGGCGCGAAAGCUAGGGGAGCAAACGGGAUUAGAUACCCCCGUAGUCC
rnacentral:rRNA from 1 species